rnacentral:rRNA from 1 species
UACGAAGGGGGCUAGCGUUGUUCGGAAUCACUGGGCGUAAAGGGCGCGUAGGCGGCCGAUCAAGUCGGGGGUGAAAGCCUGUGGCUCAACCACAGAAUUGCCUUCGAUACUGUUUGGCUUGAGACCGGAAGAGGUUAGUGGAACUGCGAGUGUAGAGGUGAAAUUCGUAGAUAUUCGCAAGAACACCAGUGGCGAAGGCGGCUGACUGGUCCGGUACUGACGCUGAGGUGCGAAAGCGUGGGGAGCAAACAGG